rnacentral:rRNA from 1 species
GAUAAACGCUGGCGGCGGCACAUAAGACAUGCAAGUCGAACGGACUUAACCGAUUAGUUUACUAUUGGAACGGUUAGUGGCGGACUGGUGAGUAACACGUAAGUAACCUGCCUAUCAGAGGGGAACAACAGUUAGAAAUGACUGCUAAUACCGCAUAUGCCUAAGAGUCACAUGAUUCAAUAGGGAAAGGAGAAAUCCGCUGAUAGAUGGGCUUGCGUCUGAUUAGAUAGUUGGUGGGGUAACGGCCUACCAAGUCGACGAUCAGUAGCCGGACUGAGAGGUUGAACGGCCACAUUGGGACUGAGACACGGCCCAA